GAUGAACGCUGGCUACAGGCUUAACACAUGCAAGUCGAGGGGAAACGGCAUUGGGCGCUUGCACCGAAUGGACGUCGACCGGCGCACGGGUGAGUAACGCGUAUCCAACCUUCCCGUUACUGCGGGAUAACCUGCCGAAAGGCAGACUAAUACCGCAUGUUCUUCGAUGACGGCAUCAGAUUCGAAGCAAAGAUCCGUCGGUAACGGAGGGGGAUGCGUCUGAUUAGCUUGUUGGCGGGGCGACGGCCCACCAAGGCGACGAUCAGUAGGGGUUCUGAGAGGAAGGUCCCCCACAUUGGAACUGAGACACGGUCCAAACUCCUACGGGAGGCAGCAGUGAGGAAUAUUGGUCAAUGGGCGGAAGCCUGAACCAGCCAAGUAGCGUGCAGGAUGACGGCCCUACGGGUUGUAAACUGCUUUUAUGCGGGGAUAAAGUGAGGGACGCGUCCCUUUUUGCAGGUACC
rnacentral:rRNA from 1 species